CUAAACCUAGCCCUUCAAACGGGGCUGCCGUCCUAUGUAGGUUGGUGAUGGUGAUAGUUCUUUUCUGGUGCCUUACGUUUAGAAACCAUGUGAGUCACCGUGCUGAGACAUAACACUAGAGGCACCCAAUAAAUGCGGACAGAGGCUUGAAUGCGGAUCCACCGAUAUUAACCUCCACUUGGCAAACAUCAGCAGGAUCACAGUUGCUUCCACAGUGAUUUGUCCUCGAGUGAUCUGCGAAAACGUCACCCUCACAAACACGAUUUUAAAGUUCCUUAUACAGAGACCCAGGAUUCAAACGACGAGGUACAGCAUAUCUCCACUUCCACAAAUACGUUUUAACUUGUCCUCUAAAUGUGUUUUCUGUUAUCCCUUUCUUUGUUCUUUCCCUCCUCGUCCUUCUUUCUUUAAAUCUGGCAACAGAAUCAAGUCAAAUCCUCGAAACAAACAAAACUCUGGAAUCAGCAGAUGACAACAACGGAUGAAAAUGUGUCUUGAAGGAAAUAAAAUAGAUAAAAGCA